UCUUACAUUGGUUCUCCUAACGACCUACGCCUUGGGUUUUCGGUCUUGAACUUUUGAGCUCGUCUUUGGCUUUUCCAUGCAAUCCAUUCAUCAAUAUACUUCUCGGCAUCUAAUCUUGAUUGUUUGUCAUAUAAUAACGUUGUUUGACACUUGACUUCAUUGUUUGUCAUUCAUCAAAACAUAUACCUGGAAAUCAUGCU
rnacentral:lncRNA from 1 species